CAGAAACUACAAAGGAAGUUGACGGGGCCCGCACAAGCGGUGGAGUAUGUGGUUUAAUUCGAUGCAACGCGAAGAACCUUACCUGGUCUUGACAUCCCGGAGACCCUUAGGAAACUAGGGGGUGCUUCCAUCUGGAAGAAUCUGGAGACAGGUGCUGCAUGGCUGUCGUCAGCUCGUGUCGUGAGAUGUUGGGUUAAGUCCCGCAACGAGCGCAACCCUUGCCUUUAGUUGCCAGCAGUUCGGCUGGGCACUCUAAAGGGACUGCCGGUGUUAAACCGGAGGAAGGUGGGGAUGACGUCAAGUCCUCAUGGCCUUUAUGACCAGGGCUACACACGCACUACAAUGGCCGAUACAAAGGGCAGCGACACUGCGAGGUGAAGCCAAUCCCGUAAAAUCGGUCUCAGUCCGGAUUGGAGUCUGCAACUCGACUCCAUGAAGUUGGAAUCGCUAGUAAUCGUGGAUCAGCAUGCCACGGUGAAUACGUUCCCGGGCCUU
rnacentral:rRNA from 1 species